UCAUUUAAAGAAAGCGUAAUAGCUCACUGGUCGAGUCGGCCUGCGCGGAAGAUGUAACGGGGCUAAACCAUGCACCGAAGCUGCGGCAGCGAACGUAUCACUUAAAGCGAUUCAGCGGGUUACGAUUGACGGAGCGAAGCGACGUCAAAGCGUAUACAAAGUCGAGUCGGUUUAAGGAUACGUUCGUUGGGUAGGGGAGCGUUCUGUAAGCCUGCGAAGGUGGCCUGUGAGGGUUGCUGGAGGUAUCAGAAGUGCGAAUGCUGACAUAAGUAACGAUAAAGCGGGUGAAAAGCCCGCUCGCCGGAAGACCAAGGGUUCCUGUCCAACGUUAAUCGGGGCAGGGUGAGUCGACCCCUAAGGCGAGGCCGAAAGGCGUAGUCGAUGGGAAACGGGUUAAUAUUCCCGUACUUGGUGUUACUGCGAAGGGGGGACGGAGAAGGCUAUGUUGGCCGGGCGACGGUUGUCCCGGUUUAAGCGUGUAGGCUGGUUUUCCAGGCAAAUCCGGAAAAUCAAGGCUGAGGCGUGACGACGAGGCACUACGGUGCUGAAGCAACAAAUGCCCUGCUUCCAGGAAAAGCCUCUAAGCAUCAGGUAACACGAAAUCGUACCCCAAACCGACACAGGUGGUCAGGUAGAGAAUACCAAGGCGCUUGAGAGAACUCGGGUGAAGGAACUAGGCAAAAUGGUGCCGUAACUUCGGGAGAAGGCACGCUGACACGUAGGUGAAGUGAUUUACUCAUGGAGCUGAAGUCAGUCGAAGAUACCAGCUGGCUGCAACUGUUUAUUAAAAACACAGCACUGUGCAAACACGAAAGUGGACGUAUACGGUGUGACGCCUGCCCGGUGCCGGAAGGUUAAUUGAUGGGGUCAGCGCAAGCGAAGCUCCUGAUCGAAGCCCCGGUAAACGGCGGCCGUAACUAUAACGGUCCUAAGGUAGCGAAAUUCCUUGUCGGGUAAGUUCCGACCUGCACGAAUGGCGUAAUGAUGGCCAGGCUGUCUCCACCCGAGACUCAGUGAAAUUGAACUCGCUGUGAAGAUGCAGUGUACCCGCGGCAAGACGGAAAGACCCCGUGAACCUUUACUAUAGCUUGACACUGAACAUUGAGCCUUGAUGUGUAGGAUAGGUGGGAGGCUUUGAAGCGUGGACGCCAGUCUGCGUGGAGCCGACCUUGAAAUACCACCCUUUAAUGUUUGAUGUUCUAACGUGGACCCGUUA
rnacentral:rRNA from 1 species